AACGAACGCUGGCGGCAGGCCUAACACAUGCAAGUCGAACGCUCUCUUCGGAGGGGAGUGGCAGACGGGUGAGUAACGCGUGGGAAUCUACCCAGCUCUACGGAAUAACGCAUGGAAACGUGUGCUAAUACCGUAUACGCCCCAUGGGGGAAAGAUUUAUCGGAGUUGGAUGAGCCCGCGUCUGAUUAGCUAGUUGGUGAGGUAAUGGCUCACCAAGGCGACGAUCAGUAGCUGGUCUGAGAGGAUGACCAGCCACACUGGGACUGAGACACGGCCCAGACUCCUACGGGAGGCAGCAGUGGGGAAUAUUGGACAAUGGGCGCAAGCCUGAUCCAGCCAUGCCGCGUGAGUGAUGACGGCCUUAGGGUUGUAAAGCUCUUUCACCGGUGAAGAUAAUGACGGUAACCGGAGAAGAAGCCCCGGCUAACUUCGUG
rnacentral:rRNA from 1 species